AAUGGCCGGAGGCACAUACACUUGCCAGUAGUAAAACUCCACCUUGUGAUUCACUGAUUUCUCCAGCAGCCAUGCUUCCUGCAGCACUGAGGCUUGGUCAUAUCACAGUGCUCAGAGGGGAGGUUCAGCCAUUUCUGCCUUGUGCCACUGGACAGAUGAUUCCUGCAUUUGAAUUAUUGAGAAAACAUGAAAUAACACAUCUGCGAGUGCUUGGGAACCUAGAAGGCAAUACUAACAUGGGAAAAUGAAGGAUGGCCUCCUGCCUCGUGGAGCGGAGCUGCUUCCCAGUGACAUCCGUCACUCAAUCAACAUUCAUGGUAUGCUCAUUAUGUGGGGGCAGAAGGAAAUUAAGAUCUUAAGGUAGCGCUUAUAUCCUGUGUUUAAGUGAAAAAGUGGCAAGGGACUCUGUCACUCUGUUCUUUGCUUAGGUAUUUUUGCUAUAAAAUAGUAUCAUUAGGGGACCAUGUUCCAAAUUUGCUUUAACCUAGUUCUCUCCCAUUACAUAAUCAUCUUAAUUGGUGAGUAGUUCCAUUUUCUUGCUUCUACCCCAUUAGUCUCAAUGGUGUGUUUGUCAUUGCUGCUCAGUCUCAAGGGUUGCUUUGUGAGCUGAUCCUAGGAUUUUACUCCAUUCUUAUGUCUCAUCCUUCCUCUCCAGAAAAUGAGAGCUGACCAAUAUCAAGACCAGUGAAAAGGUCUUGAUGUCACCUGUGGGAGGUAGGGUGAGCAGAGACACUUAGAUGUGCAGUUUCCCGUUUGUGUAAAACCACAGGACAGGUGCAGAGAGGCACACAUUCGUCUUCAUAGUGGAAUGUUGUUUCUGGUUGCAUGAUAAGAGUGGGAUAAGACAGAAGGCGAAUGGUUUCUCAUUCUUACACACUGAGAACAUGGUCUUGUUUCAAAUGAAAUGCCCUCAGCUUUUGCUGUGAUAAAUUAUAUCCAUAUAAUACCCAACAUCUCAGGUCAUAGGUGAUAUACUAAUUAAUGCCAUCUUGGUAUUGGAAACUCUAUGUUGAGCAUUGGAAUCCAGAAGUUCUCUGCUUGAUAUAUAAAAUCUCACUAGGACUCUUUUUCUACUCCAGGCCACAAACAGUUGAUACAUUACGCCAGACUGGCACAUCCUAGCUUAGUUGGAGAGGGAUCCCAGGAGAGGCAGGGAUGUAAGGAAAGGGUACAUAUAUGUGGACAAAAA
rnacentral:lncRNA from 1 species